GUUUAGGUCACCUGGUGAGGUAAUGUGACUUUGAGAUAGGUGGUGGUGAUAAGUGAGGUUCAGGUUCCUACAAUAUAGGAUCCGCUCAGCGUAUAUCUCCUAUAUAAGAUCAUUCUCCUGAUUGACCCAUCAAGGAUGGAUAGAGAUGGGGACAAGAUGGCAGAGAGUAUAAUAAAUCUCACCCUAGAGAUCCUCCUCCGGCUUACUGGAGAGGAAUACACAGUAGUGAAGAAGACCUCUAGUGAGCAUUGUCAGGCCC